CUAAAUUAAUCUAAAGACAAGUUCUCUCUCUCUCUCUCUCUCUCUCUCUCUCUCGUCUAGCCGACCCAAGCCCUAAUCUAUCUCCUUUAGUUUCUCUCAAAUCGUCGACGACGAUCGUCGUUCUCCAAUUGCCGGUCAUCAUUUUGUCCACACUCCAGGGACUAAGGUAAGUAAAUUUUCUCAUUUUCUAUACCUAUUUCGCCCUUGUUUCUUAUGCAUCCCAAGUCCUACCCACUUCCCCUUUGCAUAAAAUUCUUAGAGAUUCGAUUCUUCUGUUUUUGCAAUUUUAUUUUAUUUUAUUUUAUUAUUAUUAUUUUUUUUUUGUGGCUAUAGAAUGAAAAGCUAUACUCUAUUAGUAAAGAUCUCCCAUUUGGUUCUGACAAGCUAUACUCUGUUAGUGAAGAUAGAACUAUCUGCAUUUGGGACUGCAACAAUGGUCAGGUAUGGAAAGUUUUCUUAUCGCUCGACUAAACUUUCACAUUGAGUGAAUCAGACGUGCGAUCAAUAAUAUGAUUAUUCACAAUUCAAUGUACUGGUGCUGUUGAUCUCAAUGGUGAAGUUGGGUGCUUGAUUAGUGAAGGUCCAUGGUUGCUUGCUGGAGUGCCAAAUGCUCUUAAAGUAACUAAUGUUCUUCACAUAGUUUAUGUUGCGAAUCUACUUAACAUGCUCAGCGAAAAUUAAAAUAAUUUUCGAUUCUCACCAAGAAUCGCCUUUGUGUUUAGAUAGAAAUUGUGAUAAAAUUGUACCUUUUCCAGAUUUGCAAAUUUCUUUGCUAUUCUUUUCGUUCCAAC
rnacentral:lncRNA from 1 species